rnacentral:rRNA from 1 species
CAGUCGCCACGGUAAUACGUAGGUGGCAAGCGUUGUCCGGAAUUAUUGGGCGUAAAGGGCUCGCAGGCGGUUUCUUAAGUCUGAUGUGAAAGCCCCCGGCUCAACCGGGGAGGGUCAUUGGAAACUGGGAAACUUGAGUGCAGAAGAGGAGAGUGGAAUUCCACGUGUAGCGGUGAAAUGCGUAGAGAUGUGGAGGAACACCAGUGGCGAAGGCGACUCUCUGGUCUGUAACUGACGCUGAGGAGCGAAAGCGUGGGGAGCAAAUGGGAUUAGAUACCCGUGUAGUCCCUGUCUCUUACAC